CUUUAAAAAUCUGGAUCAAGCUGAAAAUUGAAACGACACACAGUCAAUGUGUGUUCGAGUCUCUCAAAUUUUCGCAACACGUUGGUGUUUUACGAAACAUCUUCGG
rnacentral:sRNA from 1 species